rnacentral:rRNA from 1 species
AUUGAACGCUGGCGGCAAGCCUAACACAUGCAAGUCGAACGAGUGGGGACGGGUGAGUAACACGUGGGUAACCUCCCAUCAGAGGGGAUAACACUUGGAAACAGGUGCUAAACCGAUACUGAUGGAUGGACCCGCGGUGCAUUAGCUAGUUGGUGAGGUAACGGCUCACCAAGGCCACGAUGCAUAGCCGACCUGGUAGGGGGAUCGGCCACACGGGGACUGAUACACGGCCCAGACUCCUACGGGAGGAAGCAGUAGGGAAUCUGCGGCAAUGGACGAAAGUCUGACCGAGCAACGCCGCGUGAGUGAAGAAGGUUUUCGGAUCGUAAAGCUCUGUUGUUAAGGAAGCGGUACUUAACCAGAAAGGGACGGCUAACUACGUGCCAGCAGCCGCGGUAAUUC